rnacentral:rRNA from 1 species
CAGCCGCCACGGUAAUACGAAGGGGGCUAGCGUUGUUCGGAUUUACUGGGCGUAAAGCGCACGUAGGCGGAUCGAUCAGUCAGGGGUGAAAUCCCAGAGCUCAACUCUGGAACUGCCUUUGAUACUGUCGAUCUGGAGUAUGGAAGAGGUGAGUGGAAUUCCGAGUGUAGAGGUGAAAUUCGUAGAUAUUCGGAGGAACACCAGUGGCGAAGGCGGCUCACUGGUCCAUUACUGACGCUGAGGUGCGAAAGCGUGGGGAGCAAACAGGAUUAGAUACCCCAGUAGUCCCUGUCUCUUAUAC